AAACUUUCAACAACGGAUCUCUUGGUUCUGGCAUCGAUGAAGAACGCAGCGAAAUGCGAUAAGUAAUGUGAAUUGCAGAAUUCAGUGAAUCAUCGAAUCUUUGAACGCACAUUGCGCCCCCCGGCACUCCGAGGGGCAUGCCUGUUCGAGCGUCAUC
rnacentral:rRNA from 1 species